CAGUAGCCGCGGGAAUACGAGGGGGGCAAGCGUUGUUCGGAAUUAUUGGGCGUAAAGGGUGCGUAGGCGGUUUGGUAAGUCUAGUGUGAAAUCUUCGGGCUCAACCCGAAGUCUGCACUGGAAACUGCCGGGCUUGAGUAUGGGAGAGGUGAGUGGAAUUUCCGGUGUAGCGGUGAAAUGCGUAGAUAUCGGAAGGAACACCUGUGGCGAAAGCGGCUCACUGGACCAUAACUGACGCUGAUGCACGAAAGCUAGGGGAGCAAACAGGAUUAGAUACCCGCGUAGUCCCUGUCUCUUAUAC
rnacentral:rRNA from 1 species